GAUGAACGCUGGCGGCGUGCCUAAUACAUGCAAGUCGAGCGAACAGACGAGGAGCUUGCUCCUCUGACGUUAGCGGCGGACGGGUGAGUAACACGUGGAUAACCUACCUAUAAGACUGGGAUAACUUCGGGAAACCGGAGCUAAUACCGGAUAAUCUAUUGCACCGCAUGGUUCAAUAGUGAAAGACGGUUUUGCUGUCACUUAUCGAUGGAUCCGCGCCGCAUUAGCUAGUUGGUAAGGUAACGGCUUACCAAGGCAACGAUGCGUAGCCGACCUGAGAGGGUGAUCGGCCACACUGGAACUGAGACACGGUCCAGACUCCUACGGGAGGCAGCAGUAGGGAAUCUUCCGCAAUGGGCGAAAGCCUGACGGAGCAACGCCGCGUGAGUGAUGAAGGUCUUCGGAUCGUAAAACUCUGUUAUUAGGGAAGAACAAAUGUGUAAGUAACUAUGCACGUCUUGACGGUACCUAAUCAGAAAGCCACGGCUAACUACGUG
rnacentral:rRNA from 1 species